AGCGAACGCUGGCGGCAGGCCUAACACAUGCAAGUCGAACGAAGUCUUCGGACUUAGUGGCGGACGGGUGAGUAACACGUGGGAACGUGCCUUUAGGUUCGGAAUAACUCAGGGAAACUUGUGCUAAUACCGAAUGUGCCCUUCGGGGGAAAGAUUUAUCGCCUUUAGAGCGGCCCGCGUCUGAUUAGCUAGUUGGUGAGUUAAAGGAUCACCAAGGCGACUAUCAGUAGCUGGUCUGAGAGGAUGAUCAGCCACAUUGGGACUGAGACACGGCCCGAACUCCUACGGGAGGAAGCAGUGUGGAAUCUUGCGCAAUGGGCGAAAGCCUGACGCAGCCAUGCCGCGUGAAUGAUGAAGGUCUUAGGAUUGUAAAAUUCUUUCACCGGGGACGAUAAUGACGGUACCCGGAGAAGAAGCCCCGGCUAACUUCGUGCCAGCCGCCGCCGUAACAC
rnacentral:rRNA from 1 species